rnacentral:rRNA from 1 species
AAACGCUUGAAGUCAGUCGCGUUUGCUUGGACUCAGCCUCACUUCGGUCUGGUGCAUUUCCUUGCGAACGGGCCAGCGUCCAUGUGUGUGUUGCUGGAAAAGGGGUUGGGAAAUGUGGCUUCUUCGGGAGUGUUAUAGUCCCUUCUCGUAUACGGCGCAUCAUAUGGAGUGGAACAGCACGUUCUUUUGUGCUUGUGCUGGCAUAAUGGCUUUAAACGA